GUAAAAUAUAAUAAGAAUUAUUUUUUUGUUUAUACUUCACUUUUGAGAAGACGACACUGAGAAUUCUUAAAUCAUGCUAAGGGUAAGAGACAGUACGUAUAGAAUGUAUUAGAUUAAAUAUAAAAAAAAAAAGUAUAAAAUCAGAUUAUUAUAAUGCUAAUGAAAUCAGUUCUACUGUCCCUUUCAAAUAUAUAUUUGUAUUCACGGCAUUUUCAUUGAAUAAUAGAAAACGAUGAUCUUUCAUUUCUUUCCGCGCGUGUUAGUAACGCUCCUACAUGAAACCCAUAAAAAUAGACAGUAUACAUUAUAAGUGAAAUCACCAUAAAAGUGCGGGAAAAAGAGAUUUCACCGAGAGUCAUCACUGAAAAUUUCAUAACUCAAUACCUUUUAGGUAUGUUACAUAAAAAUAUAUUUCAAUCAUAACUAGUAUUGCCACUACGAUGAAAAAAGGAUUAUCCUCUAUCUAUCAGUCGUUUCUGUCAUUGAAUAUGAUUAUGAAAUAUAUCAAAAAAAUUUUGAGUAUCUCAUACCUGUGUUACAUCUGCGAGUGAUACAUUAAAAUAAUUAUAGCUUCUUUUAUAUCGAAUUAUUCGUGAUUCUUCUCUUUUUUUUUCAUUCCUUCUAUCAGCUUUUAUCAGCGAGCUGAUAAAAGUACUGAGCCAUAACUACUUUAUCGCGAAUAUUUUACAAACAAGAAUGAUUCAUAAAAUGUUUUAAGAGAAUAAGUAGCGUAAAUAUGAAUCACAAUAUAGCAGAAAAUUGUUACUUUUUCUUUUCAACUUUGUUUUGUGUGUCGGUGUAAGUCGACUAUUCCGGCCCAAUUUUCUCCCGAGCAGUCACAUGCGGGUUCCUUAAUACGCUCACGCCUCGUCGUGAUUUUGUAUGUCAAAUAUCGUGUGGUAUAUUGCCGUCUGUUAGUGGGUCGAAGUAACGGUCGCCAGAAUGUGUGCGAGCUAACAUUUUGUCGAAUCUCUUCAUUGAACAACGGCCGUGAUGACAUUGUCAUUGAUACACCGAGCUUUAAUCUCGGUGUAAGGUAGGUAGGCGUAGUCGCGAGCGAUCGACUGUAUAUGUGGGCGUAUUUACGCGCUCGAUCGCGUUAAAGUGAAUACUAACCUACGUACAGUUAUGUAGUUAAUUCAUAUUUGAUAAGUGCACUUAGUUCAUGCGAGUCCGGCCACGAUGAUUGUUCAGGCGGUGUAAAGACAGCGCUGAGAGCUUGACUUUGGCGUUUGACUUUACCAUGAGUAAGAAUUAUUCUUGCAAGCCGGAGUAUGAUCGAUAUGAUCAUCACGUUGUUUAUUAUAUGUCAAUAUUCUUAUAAUGGAAGCGUCAAGAAAUUUGUUUAUUGUGUAACGUUUUCUAGGUUACGAUUGUGCAACGCAGAAUGACGUGAGAAUCCGUCACGACUGCUUUCAAUGAUAAGGUAUUUUAUCCAAUUAAUUUUCCCGUAGCGAGAGAUGCCUUUAUUAAAAGCUACUAUUCAUGUCAACUUUUUACAUAUCCGACAUAUGCCGUAUAACCGAAUAAUUAAUUAUAUUAUUAGCGUUAUUAUUACAUUAUUAAUUACAUUAUAAUUAAUUAUACAAUUUCCAACGUAAAAUAUAGCAAUUUAUUUAACUCGUAUUCUUCAUUUCUACUUGACUAAGUCUACAAUGAAGAUUUAAGCUUUAAGUCUAAUAAGAAAUUGACCAAUCACAGUCGAUUUUUAUUAAAAUUUCUUACGGCUUAAAGCUUAAAACUUCAUUGUAGACUACGUUUUUAAAAUUUUUUAAUACGUUUUUAAAGUUUUUAAAAUAUCAAUCUUAACGAAUGUCUAUAUAAUAAGAUAAUAGGAAAACAGACUAAGCAAAUAUAAUUCAAGUUCACGUCUGGGAUGUUUAAACAGAUACUCAAAUAUCAAUUUUCGUUACUAUAUCAUAUAAUGUAUUACAUUACAUAAAAUAUUUCAUAGAGGUUUCUUUGAUCCAAAAAUACAUACCACUUUUUUCGUGUUUAGUUUGGAUUGUCAUCGAAAAAAAAACUCGAUUUACAAAAUCUGAUCAUUAUAAGAGCCGUGGUAUGAAUAUUCGGCAUAUCAGCAUUUGCAAUUUGGUUUUUAUCGAUCCUCCUCUUAUCGUUGAGAUUUUAUGUCAAAGAGCCUUUUAUGUCUUGCUAUAUGUGUCAUCAAUCGAAUGGCUGAGGGAGAUAAUGCUGAUAGCAAAGCAUUUUGCCGGUACAAAUCAUGAUUUAGUUGGAGCUUAUCGAGUCUCGCGUAAAUUUCUCUGCCUUUCUUUCGACGUAGCUUCCCCCGGUCGAUUACGCGUAUUACAUAAACAGACAGUACAAAUCAUGAUGAAUUAAUGAAACAUGCGUCGUACGAAAUUAAUGACACCGGGCGUCGGACGGAUAAGGAAGCGAUGUCGCAUCCGCAUAGUGACCGCAAAGAUGGUUGAGGGAGAAGGGAGAUGGACUAUGGUUAAAGGAGACAAAGGCCAAGCUCGCGAAGAAAAUUUUAUAUCGACUGUCAGCCGGGUCGACCUUGGCCGUGCCAUUCCGCGACUUGCUAAUUGUCGGGUGAUUAUCGCUCGCGGAAUUAAAAUUCGCGUGGUGCAUGGAUGACGAGUGUGGGCGUUCGAAUUUAAGCUGCCGUUUGCACGCAGGAAAUGUACACGCAUGUUGCUGCAAUACGUGUUGUUUACCUCGCGUAGAGCCAACAACCUACGUACCUCGCUAAUUUUCAGGAUCUUUCUUGUCAAUUGUUCCGUUAUCUUUUCUCUGUUUGUUUUCUUAAUUUUAUUACUAUGGUGAUUGUUUUUGGUUUGUUUUGAUUUAUUAAGGUGAUUGAUUUAUUAUUAAGGUGAUUCUAUAAAAAGACGAUAAAACGAAUCAAAUAAAAUUGUAAGAUAAAUUAAUUAAAUAAUUAUUAGAUUAGAAAAAUUUGUUGUAUAAUAAUGUUGAUAUCUUUAUUGUUAUAAUUUUUUGUGAGAUAAGUUUCUUUUUAAAGCGAUUUUUAUUUUAAUUUCAAUAAUGUUUGUCUCUUAUUUACAUUCUGAGAUCUCCGAAAGAAAAAUUUAACAAAACAAAAAUAAUGAAUGGGUGAUUUCGUAAAAUAUCAUGUAUUAGAUGUAAUUACUUAAAUUUCCUAGGUGAUGCCAUGAAGUUUAGGUUCAAUUUAUCCCACUGAUUCAUCAUCCCAUUCAUUUUUUUAUGCCUAAGGGUUUUAACCUUCUUGAUUUUUUUCCGGUACGUUUUCAAGACGAAUAAAUAAAGUGUAAAAAAACCACCGGACAUCCUUUUCUUAAGAGGCUACGCAUUAUAAUGGUAUUUUUAUUUGCAAGUCUAUCAAAAGCAUCUUGUUCUGGAGAAACUCGUUGUCCUUCGGUAGUUAAUGAUCGCGUUCAAUGAUCUUUCGUUCGCGCAACGGUACCAAUAUCGUCUGAACGUUAUAACAGGAUAAUAAAAGAAAUAAAAAGAAUUGCAACU